AUCCCCUUGCCUCUCACUUCCAAAUAUUUGCUUUAUAACAAUGUUUCAUUGGCUACAUGGAAUACUAUUGUAUUAUUGUUUUCGUAUUCAGAACAUCAAAUCACGUGCGUGUACCAAUUUACAUGUCGAAAUACCAAAUAAAAAUUUUGACCUUAAAAUCACUAUUUCAAAGUCAAAUAUGUUACCUAAAAUUGUUACACUAUAUUGUCUAUAUUCACAACAUAUUAUCCUCAAAAUCACUCAAAAAUAUUAUGAUACUUGAGUGGUUGAAAUAUCGACCAGUCCCGUCCUUAAAAGGCUAACAGCGUCUUUUCCAGUCUUUAAUUAAGUGCUGUCCCCAGCGAUCCAGCGCUAGUGUUGUGCUGACCAAGCGGCAGUAGCAAACGCCACAUUUUGUAUUCUGGACACUGCACCAAAUAAAAAUGCUGAUGUAUUUAACUAAUUGGACAUGUGGAUUGUUGAAUGAUUGGAAUAUUUGCGACGUGCCUUGGGUCGUUCACCGACGAAAAUUAACAUUAAAAAUGUAGAAAGAAUAAGUCGAUAAUCGUCCGAUCACUCUGAUUAAAAUGGUCAGUUUUUGAUACCUACACAAGAUUUUUGUUACAGUGAGGUCUCGUAGCUCCAAAAUUGAUUUAUUGUAAUUAAAAUUUAACUUGAUGUAGAUAUUAUAUUACUUAAGAUUUUUUUAAUGGAAAAUAAG